rnacentral:tRNA from 1 species
CAUCCGUAGCUCAGCUGGAUAGAGCACCAGACUACGAAUCUGGGGGUCAGAGGUUCGAAUCCUUUCGGGUGCGCCA